ACUUAAAUAUAAGAUUUUCUUUAUAAGAUGCUGUGAUUUUAACAAAAUCAUCAGUUUUAAAGGUCUGUUGUGUCGAGUUUGUGAAAGAAAACAGGAUUAUUUCCACAAUCUGUAUGAAUUUAGACAGUUUUCCUUAAAAUUCAACAAAAAUUAAUGAAGGUUUUGUCCAUCUAGUGUGAAUUUUGACAUUUUUUAGUGUCAAUACAUCAGAUUUUUAAACAAUUUAUUGCAUUUAUUUAGUUUAACAGAUAACUUUUUGCAUUCAUUUUAAAAGGUGCUGCAAAUAUAAAUAUAAAGAAAAUCAGAAAUAAAAGAAAACAGGAGUUUCUUAUUGAUUAUGAACCUGCUUCAUAUUCAAAAAAAUCAAGAAAAAUCAACAUGUUUUGACAUCUUUUGCUCCAAUGCAUCAUUUUUUAAAUAAUUUAUUGCAUGUUUUCAAUUUAUUUAAUGUCUUUUUUCAUGUAAUUUAGAAGAUACUGCAGUUAUUUAACUAUUAUGAUAAACUGUUGAAGGUCUGUUGUGUAGAAUUUGUAAAAGAAAACCACAGGUGUUCUUAUAAUUAUCUCCACAUCUGUAUUUAAAAUCAGUUCAGUGAGAGUUUUUAUCAUCUCCAGGCGUCUAGAAGUAAAUGUUCAUAAACUCAGACGUCAUAAGAAACUCAAACUUUAGCUUCUCUGACAGACAAACUGGACGUUUAUCUGCUGAUGGAUCAUAAAGCCACUCGUCGUAUUGCUCACCCCCCCGAGGUGCGGCCACUCCUCCACAUCUGUUUGUGCUUCGACACAUCUGGAGAGUCGAGCCGUUCUGCACCGAACCCAGAUCGCAGGUCUUUGUGGGUUAUUUUGAUUUCUAUUCUUUUUUUUGAACUGCAAACUUCCACCCUCCGCUCAGAUAUUACUUCUGUCGCCACUCAACAAC